GCUCUAAUAGCAUAUAUUAAAGUUGUUGCAGUUAAAAAGCUCGUAGUCGGAUUGGGCGCGUGUGGGCUGUCGGCCUCUGGUCGGACGGCAUGCGCGUGCCUUUCUGCUUGGGAGCCCCAUGCGGUUCACGCCGUCGUGGUGGGUCACAGGCCGUUUACUUUGAAAAAAUUAGAGUGUUCAAAGCAGGCUAUUGCUUGAAU
rnacentral:rRNA from 1 species